rnacentral:rRNA from 1 species
UACGUAGGGUGCAGGCGUUUAAUCGGAAUUACUGGGCGUAAAGCGUGCGCAGGCGGCUCCUUAAGUCAGAUGUGAAAGCCCCGGGCUUAACCUGGGAACUGCGUUUGAAACUGGGGGAGCUUGAGUGUGGAAGAGGGGGGGUGGAAUUCCAGGUGUAGCAGUGAAAUGCGUAGAGAUCUGGAGGAACACCGAUGGCGAAGGCAGCCCCCUGGGCUAACACUGACGCUCAUGCACGAAAGCGUGGGGAGCAAACAGG